rnacentral:tRNA from 1 species
GCCUGGCUGGCUCAGUCAGUAGAGCAUGUGACUCUUGAUCUCAGGGUUGUGAGUUCAAGUCCCACAUUGGGUG